rnacentral:tRNA from 1 species
AGCUUUGUGGUGUAGUACAUAUCGGGUUGCAAACCCGAAGACGCAGAUGUAAUAUUCUGCCGGGGCU